rnacentral:rRNA from 1 species
UACGGGGGGGGCAAGCGUUGUUCGGAAUUACUGGGCGUAGAGGGCUCGUAGGCGGCCAACUAAGUCCGACGUGAAAUCCCAAGGCUUAACCUUGGAACUGCGUCGGAUACUGGAUGGCUUGAAUUCGGGAGAGGGAUGCAGAAUUCCAGGUGUAGCGGUGAAAUGCGUAGAUAUCUGGAGGAAUACCGGUGGCGAAGGCGGCAUCCUGGACCGACAUUGACGCUGAGGAGCGAAAGCUAGGGGAGCAAACGGG